AUCCAGUUGACGAGUCCCAAAUAGGAUGAAAUACGCGUCCUAGAU
rfam:Schistosoma margrebowiei strain Zambia genome assembly, scaffold: SMRZ_scaffold0001690